AGGAUGAACGCUGGCGGCAUGCUUUACACAUGCAAGUCGAACGAGGAUUAGUUAGCUUGCUAAUUGAUUUUAGUGGCGGACGGGUGAGUAACGCGUAAGAAUCUGCCCCUAGGAGAGGGAUACCAACUGGAAACGGUUGUUAAUACCUCAUGUGCUGAGGAGUAAAAAAGGUUUACCGCCGCCUAGGGAUGAGCUUGCGUCUGAUUAGCUAGUUGGUGGGGUAAUGGCCUACCGAGGCAAUGAUCAGUAGCUGGUCUGAGAGGACAAUCAGCCACACUGGGACUGAGACACGGCCCAGACUCCUACGGGAGGCAGCAGUGAGGAAUUUUCCGCAAUGGGCGAAAGCCUGACGGAGCAAUGCCGCGUGGAGAAGACGGCCCGUGGGUUGUAAACUCCUUUCUUAGAGAAGAACAACUGACGGUAUCUAAGGAAUAAGCAUUGGCUAACUCUGCGCCAGCAGCCGCGGUAA
rnacentral:rRNA from 1 species